ensembl:misc_RNA Y_RNA Y RNA
GGUUGGUCCGAGUGCAGUGGUGUUUACAACUAAUUGAUCACAACCAGUUACAGAUUCCUUUCUUCCUUAUCCACUCCCACUACUUCACUUGACCAGCCUUAA